rnacentral:rRNA from 1 species
GAUGAACGCUGGCGGCGUGCCUAAUACAUGCAAGUCGAGCGAACAGAUAAGGAGCUUGCUCCUUUGACGUUAGCGGCGGACGGGUGAGUAACACGUGGGUAACCUACCUAUAAGACUGGAAUAACUCCGGGAAACCGGGGCUAAUGCCGGAUAACAUUUAGAACCGCAUGGUUCUAAAGUGAAAGAUGGUUUUGCUAUCACUUAUAGAUGGACCCGCGCCGUAUUAGCUAGUUGGUAAGGUAACGGCUUACCAAGGCAACGAUACGUAGCCGACCUGAGAGGGUGAUCGGCCACACUGGAACUGAGACACGGUCCAGACUCCUACGGGAGGCAGCAGUAGGGAAUCUUCCGCAAUGGGCGAAAGCCUGACGGAGCAACGCCGCGGGAGUGAUGAAGGUCUUCGGAUCGUAAAACUCUGUUAUUAGGGAAGAACAAAUGUGUAAGUAACUGUGCACGUCUUGACGGUACCUAAUCAGAAAGCCACGGCUAACUACGUG